CUCAUUACCCAGGUGAUAGGAAGACUCUGAGGCCAGAGCACAGGGACUUUGGAGGGAGUGGCAACCCUCCCUGGGUUGAAGGGACUAAGGAGGCUCUGGGCCACAGCCUCAGAUGCAGAAACAGCAGCAGCAGCCCCACAGCCUGAGGAACCAAAUCCCUGCUUGAGUCCAAACCCCUGCAAGAAAUGUAUUAUUGUACAGCUACCGCAGUCCUGUUGGCACCGGACCCUCACUGAGGCCCACCUGUGAGCUGUCCAGAUCCCUCUCAGGCGGAGCCAGGGGUCAACUCUGGUUCUUCCUUCAUGUUCUGUAGGCUGGACAAGAAGUGGGGCACCAGCAACUGCUUCUGAUGAGGGCCUCAGGGAGCUUCCACUUAUGGAAGAAGGUACCACGUGGGGAGACGGGAAGCAAGAGACAGUGGAGGAAGCACCAGGCUCUUUUUAACCAUCAGACUCAUGGGAACUAAAACGUGUUUCCAGCCUUCGACCUUCACAUUUUGGAUACCACUGCUGCUGUGUGGCUCCAUCUUGCAUGAGCUGCCUCCACUCAGCAGGUACCACCUGGACUGCCAUUUCCUCCAUGGGAGUGGGGACAGUGGGGCGAGGCACUGGGGCAGCAGAUCCUGUCCCUGCUUUUCCCUCCUGACCCCUGCCUCAGCCCAGCAAUUCCAAGGUGGGGCACAGAGGGGAGAUAGGUAGAGGGCCGGGGUCCCAGGGCAGCUCCCAUCACAGACCUGUGGGGAAUCGUGCUUGAACGUGGGUGUCAUUGACUCAGGUGUCAUCUUCCUUUGUCUUUCUCAUCUUCAUUCCUGGAGACAGCAAAUUGCACUUGCCAGCGUUUGACGUUUUGCACAAGACAUGGGAAAGAACAAAUGUUGGCCUGCUUUGAGUUUAGUCGCUUAUGCAGCCAAAGGCCCAGGAGCGCAAGCUAUCUGCAGGGAAGGCAAAAGCAUCUCUGUUCAUCAAAGCUGCCUGUUUAUUCCAGGGUUAUAAUAGCAGGAAUAAACGGCAACCACACCUGACA
rnacentral:lncRNA from 13 species